AAGGUCAUUCCUGGACAUGACCAGACAACCUCUUAUGUUAAGUAACCCUGAACCUAUCCACAAAAUUCCUGGUCACCACUACAAUGUUUUGUCAAGCAGGAUUCAUUUUUUUUACAUCAUGUAUGCUUUCUAUCAUGUGUUCCCCUACUUAUGUAAUUACGUAUAAGACGCACGCCAUGGCGAUCCCCAGCAGUGACGUGCAAAUAUAUCUGUAGGCAAUUCAAAUCACAGACACAUCAUCUUGUUGCAAAGACGAUCUUCAUGUAUAUAUGCUUUCUUGGUUCAUUUGCUGCUCAAGGGCUCGUCUAAUUUUGAUUUUUAGAAGCUCUGAUUUCCAAAUAUAGAUUUUCUUUCUGCUCUUCUUCACCUUAAAUUUGUUUCAGUAGAUUAUUUUUUUAAGAAUUAAAUUUGGAAUCAUUUAAUUGUGUCUAUGAUUCCAUCUUAAUAUCUAUGCAGCAUGCUGAUGGAAUCAUUUUCAAACUUUACCACCAGGAAGCACAAAUGUAGUAUGUUGCUAGCUGCGUGGACCAUCGCUUCUUGCAGUAUCAGAUCCAACCAAAUUGGUUAGUGGGAGUGCUGAUGGUUCGCUGUGGAAUAUGAAUCAGGCAAUUCUAUUAUUACACUUGCUGUAUGCCAACUUUUGAAUUAUGACAAUGUGGUUAUCGAGCUUGCAUGUGAUGGUGGUAAUUUUGCCCUA